GUCUGUCUGGGAAUUGGGUGGUGGGAGGGGAGCGAUUUAUGGCUGGCCUGGAAGCACGUUAAUCCUUCUCGCACCCGCGGUUAGCAGGCUGUAGAAGUCAAUUGACACUUUCCCUCGAGGCUGGUCCCACGGCGGACGUGGGACUGCGGAGGAGGAAAAGGAGAGGCGAGGGCCAGGCUGAAAGGUCGCGUCAGCCACCGGCAAGCUGCCUCGAUUGCCGAGGGCUGGGAAGGCGGGAGGUUAGGGACAGACUGCAAGGAACAACUCUAGUAGAAACCUCGCUGGACAGCGAAACUAAGGGAGACUGUUGGGUGUGGAGGCCCGGCAGAUGUACAGGCCCACGCCCCGGUACUCGCGUGGGAACCAGAUAGACUUGAUUAAGCAUGUGUUUGGGAUGGAAAAUGCUAGCCAGCUUUUGAAUGAAGUUCUGGAAGCUGGGGUCCUGGAGCAAGGAGCCAGCAUGGCAACUUUCUGCCCCUGAGCUUCAGCACGGCGGGGCUGUCUCCUGGGGACUUGCCAACACUCAGGAGAGAAGCCGUUCAGCUGACCUAAAAUAAACCCAU